UACAGAGGUCUCAAGCGUUGUUCGGAUUCAUUGGGCGUAAAGGGUGUGUAGGUGGCGCGCUAAGUCGGGUGUGAAAUUUCGGAGCUUAACUCCGAAACUGCAUUCGAUACUGCUGUGCUUGAGGACUGGAGAGGAGACUGGAAUUUACGGUGUAGCAGUGAAAUGCGUAGAGAUCGUAAGGAAGACCAGUGGCGAAGGCGGGUCUCUGGACAGUUCCUGACACUGAGGCACGAAGGCCAGGGGAGCAAACGGG
rnacentral:rRNA from 1 species